rnacentral:lncRNA from 1 species
ACUACCAAAUCCAAAAAUACAAAGGUCACCCGGGUUCUACGGGUGCACCCCCUUGGAUACAUUUCCAAUCAUUCCGGGAGAUGCUGAAAUAAACAAAAUUUAUCAUAUUUUUCGAUGUUUCCUCUGUCAUUAUUCUGUGUAUGGAGACCCACUCGAUAGUUUGUCAUGAUUUACUGUACCUGUAGUUCGCUUUUGGGAAUCCUGUCUGUGUUGCUUUUACUUUUACCGAGUUGUUUAUGUCAUAUUGGAGACGAAAUAAAUGGAAUGAAAUAUAAUGAAGUCCAACUAACAAAACUUAUAUAAUAUUUUUAAAUGAAAAUCUAAAAUCCCGACUCAUCAUUCCCAUUGUUUUUACCAUCGUAAUAUGUUUUUACUCAAGUCAGUCUUCACUCUUGAUACAACCGCUGAGCAUAUUUCCAGAAUGAUAAUCGGCAUUACAAGUUAAUUCAUCUGUAUUACUUUUCUUUGAAUAACCGAAUGGGCCGAUUUGCGUAAGAUGUCCACAUAGGUUUCGGUAUACUGUACAAAAUACAAUGCCACUGUGUACAAGAAAGUUAUCUUGGCCUGGUUACAUAACACCUAACUAAUCCUUCUAAUUGGUCACAGUAUUGCCAGGGAGUGUAGCGGAGGAUAUAAAAUAAUGUAGCAUUUUAGACGUUCACAUUACAUCAGGAGUAUCAUGAUGUUAUAACUGAAUUAAACCAUUCAGGAUAGACAAGGCAAAAAUAUUUCGGAGCAACAAUUUUAUAAUUUCAGAAUGAAAAACGAUCAGUGAAUUGCUCGAAAAGAUGUAUCGAGGGACGAGACAAUUAGGAUGGCCUUAUGAUAUACCUGGACUUGAAAGAGAUGGGCAUCAUUACGUAAUAGUAGCUGAUUCCAUGAAAUUUCUGGGCAUGUAUGCCGGACUACAGAAUAAGGGAUGGACAAGGUUUGAUAAAUUUGUAAAUGAAAAUGGAAUGGUAGUUCGCCCACAAUAUACAACCAAACCAAGCAGCACGUCGCACCCAUUUGAGUUUAUCGUACUUUGUAGUUUUACUUUUGAGUGGUGGGCAUCUACAGGACAAAGAAGACUAUAAUGACGACAUCGAUGAAUAUAUAUUGAAAUUAUACACAUUGCGGGAAUUUGUCAGAGAAAGGUGCAUGGCAUCUCUUAUAAACGAACCAAUUGCUGCUGUUAUCAAUGAUGUGGAUGAGCGCGCUAAAAAAGCUAGAAUAUCAACAGGUUCGAUGAUUAGACGCGUUCAACACGACAACAAUCAGCCAAUGCCACAAACAUUGAUGCAGGUCGGAAACAGAAUUUCGCAGCGAAUUCCCAAACAAAGGAAAAAAAUAAGAGAUUGCAGCAACCAUACAUGGCGGAGACAAAUCCGACCUACUUGAAGCACUUGCUUGGGAUAUUUCGCGGCCCUAUAAAAACGAUGAAUGGGACAGUACACUAUCUGCCGAAGAUUUAAUAAAUGUACUGAAAAAAGGAAAAUCAUCAAGACAUGCAACAGAAUCCUUGUUUGACGAAAUUGUGAGCUUCCGUUUAUGCACGACUUGGCCUCUUCCCAUUUUUCAAUUUGCAGUAAAGCCUGUUAAUUGCUGUUAAUGUUGAAAGCAUGCAGUAUCAGCAUUCAGUUGCUGGAGUUCAAAGUGUUCUGGAAGAUGAAGAAAGAUAUUGAGUUACAAAAAACAAAACAAAUGUAAGGUACACGUAUCUACUACAAUCUGAGGACUGCAAUGGACAUGCCGAAUAACAACCGUAGUGUAAGCCUACCUAUACCUCUCGAGCCAGUCUAAAAUGCCCCUUCUGCCCUUUGCUAAUACUUUACUACUACUACCUGGUGCUGACACCUUGAAUGUAUAGGGGAGGCCCUGGCCAGGUGGGCCCCCUGCCCCUUCGAAUUUGCCAAUGUUAGUAGAUAUCUUGGAUCAAUUAACAUACAGAAAUAAAAAUUGCUGUUUUUAGGGGAUUUUUCAGGCACCAUGUGUGAUGAUGUAUUUUGAUGAGGGUGUACCUUUUUGAUAUAUUUACCAUUUUUUAUUAAUUUUGUCAGAAACCUGGUACUAAAUAUAUAAAUUUUAUUUCAUGAAAUAAAAAUAAGAAGUAUUAAACCAUAUUUUAUGAUUUUAUUUGACAUACCUUCAAUUCUUUAGAAUUUCAUUUCCCUGGAUAAUUAACUUAAAUUGGCCGUAUUAUACUGUUUGUUUAAAAAAUUGUUUUGACUUAUAUAAACUAUUGGAAACAAUGCUUAAAAUGGUUUUCAAAGGUAAAUCCAUUUUUUUAUAUCUUCUUCAAAUAUCGAUUUGUGAAGAUUAAUCAUAUUCUUCAAAAAAUACCCUCCGUAGUUACUGUAAAUAAUGGUUCCAUGGUGUCCCAAAAACACACCACAUACAGUACGGUAGUGUUGAAAAUUGUUCUGUUAUUGAGUUAUGAUUACGGUGUCCAAAGAUUCCUCGAAAACACUUAAUAUUUCUGUACGUUACGUACCGCUGCACACUGCUGUACGGUUAUUCAUCAAUCCAAGAAAGAUGUCUAGGACUGAGAGUAGUAGACUUCAUACUGUGUUCCCGAUUUUAUUAAUAGCCCUAGACUAACUCUACCCAUUCCAUUUCAUAUAAUAAACAUCUUUUACUAUUUUCACAAACUUU